GACGAACGCUGGCGGCGUGCCUAAUACAUGCAAGUUGAGCGCUGAAGGUUGGUACUUGUACCAACUGGAUGAGCAGCGAACGGGUGAGUAACGCGUGGGGAAUCUGCCUUUGAGCGGGGGACAACAUUUGGAAACGAAUGCUAAUACCGCAUAAAAACUUUAAACACAAGUUUUAAGUUUGAAAGAUGCAAUUGCAUCACUCAAAGAUGAUCCCGCGUUGUAUUAGCUAGUUGGUGAGGUAAAGGCUCACCAAGGCGAUGAUACAUAGCCGACCUGAGAGGGUGAUCGGCCAAAUGGGGACUGAGACACGGCCCAAACUCCUACGGGAGGCAGCAGUAGGGAAUCUUCGGCAAUGGACGAAAGUCUGACCGAGAAACGCCGCGUGAGUGAAGAGGGUUGUCGGAUCGUAAAAUUCUGUUGGUAGAGAAGAACGUUGGUGAGAGUGGAAAGCUCAUCAAGUGACGGUAACUACCCAGAAAGGGACGGCUAACUACGUG
rnacentral:rRNA from 1 species